UGUAUCACGUAUUUCUCACCUAGUAAGUGUAGACAUUGUUUGAAUCCAGAUAAGCUGUGGCUGCCCCAUCCCUGGAAGUGUUCAGGGCUAGGUUGGAUGGGUCUUUGAGCAGCCUGGUCUAGUGGAAGGUGUCCCUGGCCUUGGCAGGGGGAUUAGAACUAGGUGAUCUUUAAGGUCUCUUCCAACCCAAACCAUUCUAUGGGUCUAAUCUUAUCUUCAUCCUUUGCUUUUGUAUGUUAGGCUGGUUGGUCUUUUGUAACUUAGGGCUCAUACAUCAAGUUAUCCCAUUUAACAAGUCCUUGUUUUGUAUCUGUUUUAGCUCCUUGGCUUUUGAACAGUCCUCCUAACAGGACUGCUAUGGAAAACUUGAAAUGUUUUACUGCUGUUUAAAGUUUUUUAUUUGUGUUUGGAUGGAUCUAGGUGCUAGGUUUAAAUCUGCAGAUUAACAAAUAAGACCUUGCUUGACCCGUGACAUUUCCUGCAUGGAUUUUUGAUAAAAAAUACUAAGUUUUUUUCAUUUUUAAAUUUCCAGGAAAAGCUACAUGCUUUAGCAGAAUUCCAGAGACUGGAUGGCUUUGUCUGAAAACUGAAACUUACUGUUUUGAAAAGUAUUACUGUAGUAUUCCUCCAACAUUGUAACUUGGAUGCCUGCUGGUCCUAUUCUGCAAGGCUGAAGCUGCCUACCACCUUUGACGCUGUGCCAUGAUCUUUCCUCUUUGAAGGGAGUGCUGGAAGUAGGGAAUACCUCAAAGUUAUCUGUUAUCAGAGUUGUCACUUACAUGGAAGUGAGAAGCAAGCUGAGUUUCCAAAUCUAUCCACUCCAGAAACUGGAAGAAUUGUAAGAAGUAAUUGGGUGUGAAAUAAAUAUGUGUUCACAAGUAA